rnacentral:misc_RNA from 1 species
CGCACAUUGCGCCCUUUGGCAUUCCGAAGGGCAUGCCUGUCCGAGCGUCAAUAUCACCUCUCAGCCUGGGCUGACGUUGGACACCGUUGACCGUUCAUCCAUCAACGAGUCUCAAAUAUAGUGACGCUGGUUGGAGACACCGGUACGAGGAGCUGUUUUCAGCGUGUACUUGGAUCUCCCAACCGUCGUAUCCACGCCCGAUCAUCACACCAUGAAUAUUGGGUUGAUAUCUUUGGUUGACCUCGGAUCCGGUAGGAAUACCCGCUGAACUUAA